rnacentral:lncRNA from 1 species
UAUCGAAGGCGUAGGCAUAGAACCUCUGUUUUGCAGCAAAUUGAGCGGGAGAUUCUGCGGUUUCAAGCUAGGGGGCUUAAUCAACAGAAGGACUCUGUUCUUUGGAAGUGGGAGAAUGACAUUUUCAGGGAGACUUUCAGUUCUUCUCAAACUUGGAAAUUAACCAGGACGCAAGGCUCCAUUGUCUCUUGGUGCAAGGGCGUCUGGUUUAAAGAAGCUACUCCAAAGUUCUCUUUCCUCUCCUGGUUAGCAGCUCACAACAGACUAUCGACGGGGGAUAGGAUUCUCAGGUGGAAUCACCAAGCAGUCUCCAAUUGCUGGUUGUGCAACUCUGUCAUGGAGACAAGAGACCAUUUAUUUUUUGAGUGUCCUUUUGCGGGUGAAGUAUGGCGAGGCACGAUAAGAAAUCUUGCGGGUAAUGGAAUUUCGGUUUACUGGAAUCAGUUGAUGCAAAGCUUGGUGCGGGGGCUUCAGGACAGAACCUCAACCUUUCUCUUUCGCUACUGUUUCCAAGCAACCGCCUAUGCAAUUUGGCGUGAGAGAAACUCUCGUCGGGUGGGAGAAGCUCCGCAAUCUUCAGCUCGCCUCAUCUCUCUCUUGGAUAAACUUAUUCGAAAUAGGAUUUCUUCUUUAAGAAAGACUGUUGGUAAUAGACAUGAGAAGGCCAUGGAGAUAUGGUUUGGAAGUAGAUGAUCCUAGCAUCAUAAAAAAUUUUGAAUAGGUUUUGAUUUGAAUAGGUUUCUAUUUUGUACAAAG